rnacentral:rRNA from 1 species
UACGAAGGGAGCUAGCGUUGUUCGGAAUCACUGGGCGUAAAGGGUUCGUAGGUGGCCACUUAAGUCAGACGUGAAAUCCCUCAGCUUAACUGGGGAACUGCGUCUGAUACUGAGUGGCUUGAGUGCAGGAGAGGAAUGCGGAAUUCCAGGUGUAGCGGUGAAAUGCGUAGAUAUCUGGAGGAACACCGGUGGCGAAGGCGGCAUUCUGGACUGUAACUGACACUGAGGAACGAAAGCCAGGGGAGCAAACGGG